rnacentral:rRNA from 1 species
UACGGAGGGUGCAAGCGUUGUUCGGAAUCACUGGGCGUAAAGCGCGUGUAGGCGGCCUCUUAAGUCUGAUGUGAAAGCCCGGGGCUUACCCCCGGAAGUGCAUUGGAAACUGGGAGGCUAGAGUACCGGAGAGGAAGGUGGAAUUCCUGGUGUAGCGGUGAAAUGCGUAGAUAUCAGGAGGAACACCGGUGGCGAAGGCGGCCUUCUGGACGGAUACUGACGCUGAGACGCGAAAGCGUGGGGAGCAAACAGG